GUGCUGUGUGCCCAGGGGAGAAGGUUAACACUCCCUAUGACAAGGAUAAAGAGCACCCCCCCCCCCAGCACACAGCACAGUUAAGGCCGUGCCACCACUUCAGGGCAGCUGACCAUCGUUUUGG